GAUGAACGCUGGCGGCGUGCCUAAUACAUGCAAGUCGAGCGAACGGACGAGAAGCUUGCUUCUCUGAUGUUAGCGGCGGACGGGUGAGUAACACGUGGAUAACCUACCUAUAUGACUGGGAUAACUUCGGGAAACCGUAUCUAAUACCAGAUAAUAUUUUGAACCGCAUUGUUCAAAAGUAAAUGACGGCCUUGCUGUCUCUAAUAGAUGGUUCCGCGCUGCAUUAGCUAGUUGGUAAGGUAACGGCUUACCAAGGCAACGAUGCGUAGCCGACCUGAGAGGGUGAUCGGCCACACUGGAACUGAGACACGGUCCAGACUCCUACGGGAGGCAGCAGUAGGGAAUCUUCCGCAAUGGGCGAAAGCCUGACGGAGCAACGCCGCGUGAGUGAUGAAGGUCUUCGGAUCGUAAAACUCUGUUAUUAGGGAAGAACAUAUGUGUAAGUAACUGUGCACAUCUUGACGGUACCUAAUCAGAAAGCCACGGCUAACUACGUG
rnacentral:rRNA from 1 species